GGCGCAGAACUUUUUAGCCGGUUAGCGACGAACCGGCUACAAUUUUAUAAGUUCUGGUCGUAGGUGUUGUAGUGAGAAGAUAGUAUUGUGGGAACUUAAUCAUACGACAAGGAGACAUGACGUGACGGUAGCUAAAGAAACUGACAGUAAUUAAGAAUAAGAAGAAUGAUCCAAAAAAUCUUAAGACCAAACAACAUCGCUCCAUGACGAGAAAUACCUACAUUUUUAAAUCACAGCAUACGUUAGUGAUUUAACUCGCUCCGAAAAUGUUUACGGAGACUUACAGCUAGUUGGGAAGUGAAGUGCUGAGAGAUUACGUUUGGAACUGUCGAAAAAAUUAGGUUACAUUUAAUCUAUGGAUGAUUGUUUCCCGAUGUUUGUAAGGCCCCUUUUACACUAUAAAAGUACUUUGUCAGAUGUCAUUUACAAAAUAUUUGACGACAUACUGAGAUGUCUUAUCAUGAAUAAAAAUCAGAGCGUUGUCAUACCUUUUGUAAAAGAAUUGUCAAAGACCUUUGACAAUGUAAUAUGGGCCUAAUUAAUAGCAAUGAACAUACGAGAAUGUCAGUUGGUAUUGCAGAAAAUGUUCUGCUAAACACGUAGCAGAGUAGGAACUGCCUUGAAAGUGCAUUGUUUGGUAGAUGUUAAAAAGUUUCUGACAUUGUAAGUACAGUUCCUCAACUCUUGUACAUAUAUCAACACUCGGUGCGGUGUUAGCUGCGAUGUAAACUGAAGCAUUGAAGAAGUUUGGAUUCUGCUUUAUAGUGCCCCACUGUAAGGAUUAUCAACUUAUCUUUGACCCUUCAAAAUUGAUUGGGCGUUUAUAGUUUGAUGUAUCACACACACACAUUAUGGUUGAAGUGUUUAGUUUGAAGACUAGUGUUACGUAACUCCCCAUGCAUGUCUGUUCUAUACAAUCCCUGUCAUUGCGUUAAUACUACUGCAUCCUACACCCAUUUAAACCUGCUUACUGUGGUCUAGCUUAGUUAAGUGCACUUACGGUGUCGGCGGCUCUUCCGCUGUGUGGUGGAGUUAGCAGUUAGUUUCUGUUAGUCAUAGCCAAUCGAGUGACAGUAUACAGUAGCCAGUGAGAAUUGCUGAAUCUAGUGACUUGUUUCGGUGGAAGAUAUAAAUUAAUUACAUUUGCUUUCGUCACGGAUAAUGUGAGAUUGACUGACAGUUCUUGAUACGGGUGUUAAGAAUUAUGAAGUUGGUUACUCGUUUUCGUCUGUAUUUCUUGUAUUGUGUUUCUCAGAAUAUGACAGAAUUCCUAUGAGAUAUUGUUGCGUAUCCCAGUGAUCAUUUGGGUGAUGAGUUGGUGAAGUCAAUGCAUGUGAAUGAAGAAAAACUGACUGUGGUACUGGGCAGAUCUGUUGUGUAACCCAAGGACUAGCACGUGUUCGUCAGCACAGCACUGAGAACUGGCUCCGAGGAACUUCCUCUAAACUGGAGCUGUCUCGUCCGUCAUGUUAUGCGGGAGAGCAGCCUUACAAUUGAAGCUGAGAAAAAGUCCAAGUACGUUGCAACUGUGCGGCUGCUCUUGUGCAUGCAUUGUAAUCCUCGGGCGCCACCGGCUUCCUAAACUGCUGCCCGAAUCUCGUCAGUCCGCACCUUGAGCAAGAAGAGGAGACGGAAUUAUCUUAAUGACAGGAGUGGCUUCAAAAAUUUCAACAUUGGAUCAUCUACUGUUUAGAAAGAUUUACAGUGUUUUGUUUUAAAACAACUGAUAUGUCCAGCUCAGUUCCACUUGGAUCACUUACUUCCUGGUCCUCUCCUGUCUUCAGGAAAAGCAGAAGGUGCUAGAAAGUCGUCGUGCAGCAGUGUGAGAUGGCCACCCGACACACUUAUGUACAUUAUCACAAGUAUACGUCUCGGAGCCUGCAGUGAUCUGUGCUGCACCUUGGAGUUCCUUCUGUGUUGAAGUUUCACGGUAUUGGGCUUCUGAAGAAUGGGACACACUGAAGAAGUGAGUGUUGUUAGUCAGACUUUGAACAGCAAGCUCGUAAUUGCACAGUUGUUAAACUGGACAGUUGUUAAUAUGGACAAUUGUUAAAUCUGGCUACACAGUUUAUAAAUUCAUUGCUUGUGUGAAGUGUUUUCCUUCUUAUUUAUUUCAAUAGUGAUCGAUUACUGUGAGGUAAGACUGACUUCAGAGUGAGAUUCCAAUCAACGAAUUUCAACUCCACUGUCAAGAAAUUUGACAGAAACCCUUGCAAGUCGCGACAGUCAGUUUCAAGCCUGUAAGCAGUAUGGAAGUAGUAGUUUGGUGGAAGAGGGCAUAAUAUAAUUAUUGCAAGAAACUAGAUACUCGAGACUACAAGGUACCGGCACCUUGCAAGCAGCGACCACAUUAUGUGCUACAGGGGCAUUGCGUGGCGACACGAGACUGCCACCCGACGUGCUUAUGACAUCACAAGUGUAUGUCUCGGAAUCUGCAGUGCCGUGUGCUGCACCAUUGGGUUCUUCAGUGGAAAGUACUGUGGUUUGGGCUUCCCAAGAAUGUAGAGCUUCUCUGAGGCAUUAUGAAACACAGAAGCAGCGAGCAAUGUUAAUCAGACUUUGAAUCGCAAGCACAUAACUGGGAAUUGUAAAAGGAUUUGUUGCUUGUGAGAAAUGAAUUCCUCUGUACUUAUCCCAACAGUAAUUGACUACUUCAACUGAUUGGAAAUAACAGACAACCAUUUGCGAAAUAUAGGUUUAUUACAUCUUGACCAUAGUUUUGACAACUUUAAAACUGUCCUCUUCAGGAGAUAUUGUACCUAUUAACAAAUAUUGCAACAGUGUGUGUAGAACAGUUGCGGUAUCAUUAUGAUAAAAAAAAUUACAGGAAAUGUUUACAAAUAAUUUUAGUGAAGCAUACUCAUGUAGAAUCGUAUAUUAUCUAUAAUCAAUGUGGGAACUGUUGGCUUUGUCUAGCACGUGUGUGUCCUUCUCUUAAUCACGAUUUAAAGUACAUGAUAUAAAAGUAGUAGCUGUCUACUUUAGAGAUUUGUCUGAAAACUUUUUAAAUUACCACACAUUUCACAGUGGAUCAAACGUGCAGUAUGUCAGUUGAAACGUGUGUGUGCGUGUGUGUGUGUGUGUGUGUGUGUGUGUGUGUGACAUUUAAAUAUAAAACGUGGCAUUGGAGCCUACAGUGCGUAUGUAUGUCAUGUGCAGAGCUGAUGACAUGUGCUGACUGGCUGAAGAGUAGUGGCACUGGCCUUAAGUUGCCUCUGGUAGGUAGUAUAGCCACAACAAGUAGGUGUGUGGUUUCACAAGUGCAAGUUAAUUACUAGAAUUAACAUUUUACUAAAAUGUUGAUAGCGGGAGAGGAGAGGGGAGGAGGGGUAAGAAAGUGUGCCAGUGAAGCCAUGUGGCUUAUAAAGAGCUUGCAGGCUCUGGCAAACAUAGCAAACUCUUUACAAUACCACAAAAAGGCAUGAAAAGCACUUGCGUUUGAAUCUGCAAUUGUAACGAGCAUGAGUAUCAAAGCAAAAACGCUUCAAGAAAAUAUUAUCGGUGUAUAAGGGGCCCAAUACUUGAUAGUUGAGUUGACCCCUGACAUGAAGGAAUACUGCAAAAGGAUGCACCAUGAUGGAGAACCUGCAGAUAUUAAAAGACAAA